GAGUUUGAUCCUGGCUCAGAAUGAACGUUGGCAGCGUGGAUUAGGCAUGCAAGUCGAACGGGCCGCAAGGCCAGUGGCGGAAGGGUGAGUAAGGCGAAGGUAACCAACCCCGCGGGUGGGCAUAGCCGAGGGAAACUUCGGGUAAUUCCCAGCGAUGUGCUUUCCUGGCAUCAGGAGAUCACCAAAGAUUUAUCGCCGUGGGACGGGCCUUCGUGGUAUUAGCUUGUUGGCGGGGUGACGGCCCACCAAGGCUGCGAUGCCUACCGGGCGUGCGAGCGUGGCCCGGCACACUGGGACUGAGACACUGCCCAGACUCCUACGGGAGGCUGCAGUCGAGAAUCUUCGGCAAUGGGCGCAAGCCUGACCGAGCGACGCCGCGUGGAGGAUGAAGGCCUUCGGGUUGUAAACUCCUGUCGAGGGGGAGGAAGGCGCAAGCUUGACCGAUCCCUGGAGGAAGCACGGGCUAAGUUCGUGCCAGCAGCCGCGGUAAGACGAACCGUGCGAACGUUAUUCGGAAUCACUGGGCUUAAAGCGCGUGUAGGCGGGCCGCCACGUCGGCUGCUGAAAUCCCCCGGCUCAACCGGGGAACGGGCACCGAUACGAGCGGCCUCGAGGGGGGUAGGGGGCACUGGAACUUCCGGUGGAGCGGUGAAAUGCGUUGAGAUCGGAAGGAACGCCCGUGGCGAAAGCGAGUGCCUGGACCCUUUCUGAC
rnacentral:rRNA from 1 species